UUUUGUGGCCAAAUGUCCUUCAUCAAAUCCUGACCUCGUCAGGUCUUAGAAGCUAAGCAGGGCCGGGCCUGGUUCAUACUUGAACGGGAGGCCAGUGGGAGGACCAGAUGGGACGCCAGUGGCAAAAC
rnacentral:rRNA from 1 species